rnacentral:tRNA from 10 species
GUAUAUUUUAUGAUGAAAACAGUGUUUUAGAAGUGAUGAAACUUAAUUUAAAGAAUUUAAUUGGGAUGGUUACAGGACACCAGUAGACACUCACACCUGACUUCUCCUACAUGUAUCACUCACCAUUAAACUUAAGUUGCCAGUCAUAGUCUAGAAAGAUCAGUAAAGACCACAUUGCCAUUAUGGAAAAUUAUAUUAGAUAUGUACCAAUAUACACGUGUUAACACAAGCUAUCUUAAGUAAGUUACCACAUGAGAGAGAUUAUAACAACAUUCUCGUUUUAUAGAUAAGGAAAUGGGCAGAGGAUGCUUAAACAGUUUCUUGAAGGUCUCUCACACACUCACAUAUCUAGAAAUCAUGUAGCUGAAAUUGUGAACAAGCAGUCUACCUUGAGAACAUAUGCUGUUAGUCAUUAAACUAUAAUGCUUAAUAAGUAAUUUGCCAGAUGUUAAAGAAAAUUACACUAGGCAAAUUAAACAGCAAGGAAGACUUCAUAAAAGACUAGCAGUAAAGGUCAAGGCUAUUGCACUAGGAAAGAGAGAUUGAACUCAGCUGUGGUGAAACAAAAGGCAGGAAAGUUAUUAAGUACUGGGGUGAGCUAACAGAAGAGUACAGGAAGACUUUAUCGGAAGGUUGGUCAAUUUCUUUAGGCCAUCUGUGUUUGAUAAUUGGUACUUGUAAUCUGUGUUUGCUAAUUAAGUAGGCUUCUGCCCACCCACACAGAGACUGAGAGCUAGGAGUGAUUUUAUUUUGUUGUUCAUUUUACUGUAAUUAUAUUUCAAAGGGAUGGCUCCCAGACUCACGAGAAAGACAUUACUUUGUUGUAAAACUGGGGAGAGGCCAGGCAAAGAUUUAUACCUCAAAGGUGCAGAGAAAGAAUUCGUUAAUUGCAAGUUUUUGACAAUAAAGUCUCUAAAAAUAGGGAGGUCAAAGACCUAUAGCCAGGAAGAAACCUGUCCAAGAUUUAGUCAAGCUGAAGAGAAUGUUAAUGAAGUCCAUUCUGGUCACAGCUUGGGCUGAUAUUCACUUUUUGGGUAUGAAAAUAAUUGUUUUCAAUUAUAGAAUGAAUUUGGUUACUGAGGGAGGAUUAUUGGGCUUCUGCCCAUAAAAAAUGAAUUGUGUGGUUAGGUAACUUAAAUAAUUUAAAUUAAAUUUUAUCUUCUUAAUUAAAUAUAUUCUGACAACAAAAUUUAUUUAUUUAUUUUAUUAUUUUUUUUGAGAAGGAGUCUUGCUCCUGUUGCCCAGGCUGGAGUGCAACGGCAUGAUCUUGGCUCAUUGCAGUCUCUGCCUCCUGGGUUCAAGUUAUGCUCCUGACUCAGCCUCCUGAGUAGCUGGGAUUACAGGCACCUGCCACCACACCCGGCUAAUUUUUUGUAGUUUUAGUAGAGGCAGGGUUUCACCAUGUUGGCCAGGCUGGUCUCGAACUCCUGACCUCAAAUGAUCUAACUGCCUCGGCCCCUCAAAGUUCUAGGAUUAUAGGCGUGAGCCACCAUGUCUGGACAAUUUUUGUUAAUUUUUAAAGAUAAAAUAUAUGAAUAAGAAAAAUAUUUAAUUAAAUUCUAAGCAUUUGAGUUAUUAACACAGAGGACUUUCACUCAUAUUACCAAUUUAAAAGCAGAUAACAAUAUGUUUUCACAUUUUGAAACAUAUGACUACAAUUAGUCUGCAACUUCUAUGUUGCAGGUUUUAUCAUUUUUGCAUAUCUCAAAUUUUCUACAUUUAAGUUCUUUUACUUAUGAUAUAGUAAAACAAGAGAAAUAAUGCAUAAACCUUGCAGUAUGACCUAUAAUUUCUUAAAAUGAAACAAAGUUUAAGUUGAGAUGAAAAUUAUCAUUUGAAUGUUGAUAUUACAUCAUAUACAAAUUGAUUGCAACAUAGUUAUUUAAUGUAACAUUCUAUUUUAAAAGAUAAAUUUAUCAGAAUCAUACAUUGCUACAGUAGUCUCCCUUAUCCACAGGUUCAUUUUCUAUGGUUUCAGUUACCUACUGUCAACAAGGAUCCAACAAUAUUACAUGGAAAAUCACAGAAAUAAACAGUUUGGACGGGGGCAGAGAAAUUCUAGCCAGAAAAGUGUGGGUCACUGACAAACCGCCACUCUCAAGCCAAAAAACCUGAAACCACAGGCCAAAGUGAGAGCUUAUAUACCUGUUUUCCCACUUGAAUGCUGCUUUUUCCUCAACCACCCCUGGCCCCGCCCUGCGCCAUCCUGUGCCUAUUAAAACCCCAGACUCAGCUAGUACAUGGGACUAUGGCUGGACGUGGGAGAAAAGCAGCUUGACUUCAGAAGGACAGCUUAACAGCGUAACUUCGGAGAAGAAUCUGGCUGGAGAUGACCUGACUUCAGGGGAAGGUAAUCUUCCUACCCCCUCCGAUUUACAGCUCCCCUUCCCACUGAGAGCCACUUUCAUUAGCAAUAAAAUCCCCCGCAUUUACCAUCCUUCAAUUUGUUCAUGUGACCUCCUUCUUCCUGGAUGCCAGACAAGAGCUCAGGAGCCAUGGGUGUGGAUAUAAAAGGCUAUCACAUUGGCUCUUUGCCCUCACUGACAGAGAGCAGCUGCUCACAUGAAAUGGCAAAAGGGUCACUGAGCUGUUAAGCUGUCCACGGUUGGCAGAGCUAAAAGAGCACUGUAACAUGCCCUCUGGGGCUUCAGGAGUUGCAAGCAUCCCCACCUGGAUGCUGCUGCAGGGCCUGCGUGGAGUUUGUUCCUGCCAGCACACAAAAGCAACCCGCUGGAUCCUGCACUCGCUUGCUCCUGUUUGUGCACUCAUUCACUCACACGCCUCCUCCCACAAGGGAUAGACAGGGGCGGGCUGAGUAAAUGAGGCAACGCUGUCACAAGUCCCAUGAAGUGGUCAAGAAAAUAUCCUGCUUCAUUAAUUCCAGACAAAAAUGGAGCUGUAUUAUGUGGGAAUCACAUUAUAUUUAUAGGUUAUUGAUAUUAUUGAUACAGCUUGGCUGUGUCCCCAACCAGAUCUCAUCUUGAAUUGUAGCUCCCAUAAUUCCCACAUGUUUUGGGAGGGACCAUCUAGGAGAUAAUUGAAUCAUGGUGGCAGUUUGCUCCAUACUGUUCUCCUGGUAGUGAAUAAGUCUCAUGAGAUCCGAUGGUUUUACAAGGAGUUUCUCCUUUAGUUUUGCUGUUAUUCUCUCUUCUCUGCUGCCGUGUAAGAUGUUACUUUGCUUCUUCUUUGCCUUCUGCCAUGAUUGUGAGGCCUCCCCAGUCAUGUGGAACUGUGAGUCCAUUAAACCCCUUUUCUUCAUAAAUUACCCAGUCUGAGGUAUCUCUUUAUCAGCAGCAUGAGAACAGACUAAUACAGUUCAUUGGUACCAGAGGAUUGGGGCACUGCUGUAAACAUACCUAAAUAUGUGGAAGCAACUUUGGAACUGGGUAACAGGAAGAGGUUGGAACAGUUUGGAGGGCUCAGAAGAAGACAGGAAAAUGUGGGAAGUUUGGAACUUCCUAGAGACUCGUUGAAUGGCUUUGACCAAAAUGCUGAUAGUGAUAUGGACAAUGAAACGCUGGCUGAGGUGGCCUCAGAUGGAGAUGAGGAAUUUGUUGGCAAAUGGAGUAACCAUGACACUUGCUGUGUUUUAACAAAGAGACUGGUGGCAUUUGGCACCUGCCCUAGACAUUUGUGAAACUUUGAACUUGAGGAAGAUGAUUUAGGGUAUCUGGCAGAAGAAACUGCUAAUCAGCAAAGCAUUCAAGAGGCGGUUUGGGUGCUGUUAAAAGCAUUCAGUUUUAACAGAGAAACAGAGCAUAAAAAUGCGGAAAAUUUGUAGCCUGACAGUGCGAUAGAAGAGAAAAACCCACUUUUGAAAUGGAAAUUGUCAUCUUACAUUUGGAGUAGUUAAAAGUGGCACUGCCAUUAUCUGAUACUUAAAAGAAGAAGAAACAAUUGUGGAAACUAUUAAAUGCUCUUAAUAAGAUCAAAAUUUGGGAAAGAAUAAAAAAGUAUCUAAAAGGAUACUCUACAAACUUGUUUUUGGAUAUUACAAAAUUAAAAGAACAAAUAUUUAAAGCAUCCCAGGCACACCUGACCUUAAUAACAGGAACUGGAGUGCUUAAAGGAGCUGCAGACAGAUUAGCAGCUAGUAAUCCAUUAAAAUGGAUAAAAACACUUGGAAGCUCUGUGAUUUCAAUGAUGAAUGUGCUUUUAAUCUCUGUUAUUUGUCUUUGUAUAGUUUGCAGAUGUGGAUCCUGACUCCUGCAAGAAGUAGCUCACCGUGACAAAACUACCUUUGCCUUUAUUGAUUUGCAAAUCAAAGAAGGGGGACAUGUUGGGAGCAGGCCCCCCGAAACUGGCCAUAAACAAAACCGCUGCAGCACUGUAACAUGUUCAUAAUGGCCCUAAUGCCCACGCUGGAAGGUUGUGGGUUUACUGGAAUGAGGGCAAGGAACACCUGGCCUGCCCAGGGAGGAAAACUGCUUAAAGGCAUUCUUAAGCCACAAACAAUAGUAUGAGCAAUCUGUGCCUUAAGGACAUGCUCCUGCUGCAGUUAACCAGUACAACCUAUUCCUUUAAUUCGGCCCAUCCCUUCAUUUCCCAUAAGGGAUAUUUUUAGUUAAUUUAAUAACUAUAGAAACAAUGCUAAUGACUAGUUUGCUGUUAACAAAUACGUGGGUAAGUCUCUGUUCAGGGCUCUCAGCUCUGAAGGCUGUUGAGACCCCUGAUUUCCCACUUCACACCUCUAUAUUUCUGUGCGUGUGUCUUUAAUUCCUCUAGCGCCGCUGGGUUAGGGUCUCCGCAACCGAGCUGGUCUCGGCAGUAUCUCAUAUAUCUAUCUACUUUAUUGUAUGCCUUGAGUACAUCACUACAACAUGGAUAUUGCCACAAAAAUAUCUUUGUCUGACUAUUUUCCCACUCGAGUGACAUAGCCAGGGGAAUAGCAACUGGUGUCUAAAGAAACCCCAAGAAAUUUUAUGCAUGAACCAGGAAGACAAGAGAGGGUCACUCUCCCUAAGAUACCCAUAGGAAAUCAGAUUAGGGGUUUAGGUACAUUAACACAAAAUUAAACCAAAGCAAAGGCUUCUUCAGUAAUCUAUCAUUUUUUCUUAAGUCUGUACUUGCCCAACUGUUUUAGUCCUAUCAUCCUAACCUUAAAGGUAGCUGAAAAGGGAAGAGAAAAAGCAGAUGAAAAUGGAAAAUGGACCUCCGCCAGGGAUUAUGCAAAGCUAUAUCUUGCCCUUUGAAGAACACAAGUAUUACCAUUCAGAAAACUUUCCUCUAUAAUUCAUGCAAUGUAGAAAAAAAUGCACAAAAUCUAAAACUCCACAUUUGAAUGCCAGUCUAAAUAAUUGACAUUACUCAAAAAAACUUGGUAUUCAAAUAUGAAGUUUUUUCCAUGUUAAUGUUACUUAAAAAGAACAAAAAGGAGAAGACUAGGAUUGAGGGGCUUGGGAGAGGAAUGGGAGGAGAAACAAGAGGACAAAGAAAAGGGAAAAUGGUAGGAGAAAUUUAUAGCUGAAAUGAGACAACUAUUAUUCUUCAUGUUUACUAAAUGAAAUUUCAUUUAUAUGUGUCAUUUAAAUGAAAAAUAAUACAACUCAUAUUAUGGGAACUUCAUUUCUCAUAAAUCAUAUAAAUAAUUAUAUAUGUGUUUUUGUGUAUAAUUAGUCCAUAUUCCACAGAAAUAAUUUGAAAAAAUGCCCUAAGGAAAUCACCUCUUAUUAUACCUCUGCUUAACAAAAAGAUUAAUAUGAAACUUUAGAUUUCUUUUCUAGUUUUUUCUAAGAUAAUUUAAUAUAAAACUUGUAUUUUAUAUAUUCACUAUAUACUAUGUUAUAUAUUUACUUACCUACUAUAUAUAGUUUGUAUCUUUUUCCAUUAUUAAAAAACAACUAAAUAUAUCAUUAAAAUUGACCAAAUAUCAUAAUGACUUCAUUAGAUUUUAUUAUUUUUCAGCUGGUUCUCUAAGGUAUUUUGGGGAGAUCAUGUUUUCUGCAUAUAAUGAUUAUUAAACAAAACUAUAAGAGGCCAUGAUUUUAGACUGAGCUCAAGCACUAGGCCCUAACAGACCAGACCAAACAAAAUGGAGUCAUUCCUGCUAAAUGCCAUAUAAGAAAUUGGAAACUCUAAGGAAGCAAAGAGAUCUCAAAACAAACCUAUUUUGUCUUCUGAAAACAGGAGAUCACAGAAUAAUAAGGAAGUCCUCUCUGCUUUAACCUUUAUAGAAAAGUGACCUGAAGAAACCAAUCAGUUAUUAUUAUUAUUAUUUUUUUUUACCGUUGUUCUCUUUGCUUGUUUUCACCUUACAAAACCCACUGUUUUGCUAUUUUCCAGUGGAAUUGAGAAGAAGUUAGUUCAUUUACAACGGUGAAAGAAUGACAUCAAUGCCUAAAGUUUUGAUCAACUUCUUAAUUUUGAGAGAUUAACCAAAAGGGAGGAAUUAUUAAAUUAAGUUUAGCCUAAAGCUGCUUCCUUAUAUAUUUUAAGUUCAGCCUAAAGGUUUCUCCAUACAUAGUGAACUGUAAUCUAACUGGAAAUGUGAAUGGACUCUUGUAACAAGUAGCCAAAUCUCCAACCAUGGGAAAGUCCCAGAGUCACUGUGAACCUGUUUUGCUUAGAAGGAGGAGGAUUGUCCUUUAGCAAAUCAUUCUUUCUUCAAUUAAAAACUUCGUUAAAUU